CCCUAAGCGAGAAUCAUACCCCUAGACCAACGAGCCGACAAAAGGGUGAAAGUUACAUGUCAACGGGAAAUAAUUGCAAAUAGCUGGGCGAGAGAUAUCGACAAGAGCAUCUCUAGACUCUACGUUAAUUGAAUAGAUUUGGAAGUAACAUUUUCGUAUCGACAUAUUUUGUUUGACUAAUCACAGCCAUUGACUGUUUCAAAAGAGCACUUCCGGGCUCGUCCGGGAUUUGGACCCGGGACCUCUCGCACCCUAAGCGAGAAUCAUACCCCUAGACCAACGAGCCGACAAAAGGGGUGAAAGUUACAUUUCAACGGGACAUAAUUGCAAAUAGCUGGGCGAGAGAAUUUGAAAAGCGCAUAUCUAGACUCUACCUGAAUUGUAUAAAUUUGGAUGUAACAUUUUCAUUCCGACAUAUUUCGUUUGACUAAUCACAGCCAUUGACUGUUUCAAAAGAGCACUUCCGGGCUCGUCCGGGAUUUGGACCCGGGACCUCUCGCACCCUAAGCGAGAAUCAUACCCCUAGACCAACGAGCCGACAAAAGGGUGAAAGUUACAUUUCAACGGGACAUAAUUGCAAAUAGCUGGGCGAGAGAAUUCGACAAGCGCAUCUCUAGACCCUACGUUAGUUGAAUAAAUUUGGAAGUAACGUUUUCGUAUAGAAAUAUUUCGUUUGACUAACCUAUUGCCUUUUUUAAAAGACCAAUUCCGGGCUCGUCCGGGAUUUGGACCCGGGACCUCUCGCACCCAAAGCGAGAAUCAUACCCCUAGACCAACGA
ensembl:lncRNA